GAUGAACGCUAGCGGCAGGCUUAAUACAUGCAAGUCGAACGGUAAGGUCUCUUCGGAGAUACACGAGUGGCGCACGGGUGCGUAACGCGUAUGCAACCUACCUUUAACUGGGAAAUAGCCCCGAGAAAUCGGGAUUAAUGUCCCAUACUAUUCUGAGGAUACCUAUCCUUAGAAUGAAAGCUCCGGCGGUUAUUGAUGGGCAUGCGUGACAUUAGCUAGUUGGUGAGGUAACGGCUCACCAAGGCUACGAUGUCUAGGGGUCCAGAGAGGGUUACCCCCCACACGGGUACUGAGAAACGGACCCGACUCCUUCGGGAGGCAGCAGUAAGGAAUAUUGGACAAUGGCCGCAAGGCUGAUCCAGCCAUCCAGCGUGCAGGAAGAAGGCCCUAUGGGUUGUAAACUGCUUUUAUCAGGGAAGAAACCUCUGGAUUUACUCCGGAGCUGACGGUACCUGAAGAAUAAGCACCGGCUAACUCCGUGCCAGCAGCCGCCGUAACAC
rnacentral:rRNA from 1 species